UACGUAGGGGGCGAGCGUUGUCCGGAUUUAUUGGGCGUAAAGAGCGUGUAGGCGGUUCGGUAAGUCUGUCGUGAAAUCCUGAGGCUCAACCUCGGGCGUGCGAUGGAUACUGCCGGGCUAGAGUGCGGAAGAGGCGAGUGGAAUUCCUGGUGUAGCGGUGAAAUGCGUUGAGAUCGGAAGGAACGCCCGUGGCGAAAGCGAGGUCCUGGACGUCUACUGACGCUGAGACGCGAAAGCUAGGGGAGCGAACGGG
rnacentral:rRNA from 1 species